rnacentral:rRNA from 1 species
UACGUAGGGGGCAAGCGUUGUCCGGAAUCAUUGGGCGUAAAGCGCGUGUAGGCGGCCAGGUAAGUCCGUUCUGAAAGCCCGGGGCUCAACCCCGGGAGGCGGAUGGAUACUGCUUGGCUCGAGUCCGGAAGAGGCGAGUGGAAUUCCCGGUGUAGCGGUGAAAUGCGUAGAUAUCUGGAGGAACACCGGUGGCGAAGGCGGCAUCCUGGACCGGCAUUGACGCUGAGGAGCGAAAGCCAGGGGAGCAAACGGG